rnacentral:rRNA from 1 species
CCUACGGGGGGCAGCAGUAGGGAAUAUUGGUCAAUGGGUGAGAGCCUGAACCAGCCAUGCCGCGUGCAGGAAGACGGCCUUUGGGUUGUAAACUGCUUUUGUCAGGGGGUAAGUACCUGGCGAAUAAGCCACGGCUAACUACGUGCCAGCAGCCGCGGUAAUACGUAGGUGGCAAGCGUUGUCCGGAUUUAUUGGGUUUAAAGGGUGCGUAGGCGGCCCUGUAAGUCAGUGCUGAAAUAUCCCGGCUUAACCGGGAGGGUGGCAUUGAUACUGCGGGGCUUGAGUACAGAUGAGGUAGGCGGAAUUGACGGUGUAGCGGUGAAAUGCAUAGAUAUCGUCAAGAACACCGAUAGCGAAGGCAGCUUACUAAGUUGUACUGACGCUGAUGCACGAAAGUGUGGGGAUCAAACAGGAUUAGAUACCCUUGUAGUC